rnacentral:rRNA from 1 species
AAGGCUGAGGUGUGAUGACGAGGCACUACGGUGCUGAAGUAACAAAUGCCCUGCUUCCAGGAAAAGCCUCUAAGCAUCAGGUAACAUCAAAUCGUACCCCAAACCGACACAGGUGGUCAGGUAGAGAAUACCAAGGCGCUUGAGAGAACUCGGGUGAAGGAACUAGGCAAAAUGGUGCCGUAACUUCGGGAGAAGGCACGCUGGUGUGUAGGUGAAGUCCCUGCGG